UACGGAGGGGGCUAGCGUUGUUCGGAAUUACUGGGCGUAAAGCGCACGUAGGCGGCUUUGCAAGUUAGAGGUGAAAGCCCGGGGCUCAACUCCGGAAUUGCCUUUAAAACUGCAUGGCUAGAGUUGUGGAGAGGUAAGUGGAAUUCCGAGUGUAGAGGUGAAAUUCGUAGAUAUUCGGAAGAACACCAGUGGCGAAGGCGACUUACUGGACACAUACUGACGCUGAGGUGCGAAAGCGUGGGGAGCAAACAGG
rnacentral:rRNA from 1 species